rnacentral:rRNA from 1 species
UGGGGAAUAUUGCACAAUGGAGGAAACUCUGAUGCAGCGACGCCGCGUGAGUGAAGAAGUAUUUCGGUAUGUAAAGCUCUAUCAGCAGGGAAGACAGUGACGGUACCUGACUAAGAAGCUCCGGCUAAAUACGUGCCAGCAGCCGCGGUAAUACGUAUGGAGCAAGCGUUAUCCGGAUUUACUGGGUGUAAAGGGAGUGUAGGUGGUAUCACAAGUCAGAAGUGAAAGCCCGGGGCUCAACCCCGGGACUGCUUUGGAAACUGUCGUACUAGAGUGUCGGAGGGGUAAGUGGAAUUCCUAGUGUAGCGGUGAAAUGCGUAGAUAUUAGGAGGAACACCAGUGGCGAAGGCGGCUUACUGGACGAUAACUGACGCUGAGGCUCGAAAGCGUGGGGAGCAAACAGGAUUAGAUACCCUGGUAGU